rnacentral:rRNA from 1 species
AACGAACGCUGGCGGCAUGCCUAACACAUGCAAGUCGAACGAGACCUUCGGGUCUAGUGGCGCACGGGUGCGUAACGCGUGGGAACCUGCCCUUAGGUUCGGAAUAACUCCCCGAAAGGGGUGCUAAUACCGGAUAAUGUCUUCGGCCCAAAGAUUUAUCGCCUUUGGAUGGGCCCGCGUUGGAUUAGCUAGUUGGUAGGGUAAAAGCAUACCAAGGCGACGAUCCAUAGCUGGUUUGAGAGGAUGAUCAGCCACACUGGGACUGAGACACGGCCCAGACUCCUACGGGAGGCAGCAGUGGGGAAUAUUGGACAAUGGGCGAAAGCCUGAUCCAGCAAUGCCGCGUGAGUGAUGAAGGCCUUAGGGUUGUAAAGCUCUUUUACCCGGGAUGAUAAUGACAGUACCGGGAGAAUAAGCUCCGGCUAACUCCGUG